CCCCCCCACCGCGCCCCCCUCCGGGGACCCCAGGACAGCAGGUCCGGGGAGCGGGGCGCGCAGGGUAGCCUGGGCCAAGGGCAAGCGGGCGCGGGGAGCAGGGGCGGGGCAGGCGCGGACCCUCCCUCCCCAGGACCCGCCAGACGCCCGGGGCCCCCAACGGCCAGCACGGUCCGAAUCGACCCCAAGCUUGACCCGAGGGCAGCGGGGCCUCCGGGAAUGCCUGGCCAGGGCGGUGUCGCCGGGCAUAAAUGGGGGAGGUGGCGGCCGGGGCAGGAACCGGGUCAGGGCCAUUCUGGUAGUCUCCUGCCCACCCCUCCCCAAGCCGAGCUCCCGGCCUCCCUCCCUCUCCCCGGUCCAGGGCUGAGGACUGGGGAAGCUGAGUCCCGGGACGGGUAUGGGGGGCGUGGGGCUUGGGAUGCAGCCGGACCUCCGGGAACAGCAGGGGGCCCUGGAGCCACCAGGAGGGAGAAGGCCCCGUCCCUGAGCCAGGCUCGCAGGAUGUUUAUCCCAGGAAAUCCAGAGGAUCAGAACCAGGCAGGACCCGGCACUGGGACGGAGGCAGCUGUCUGCAGGGCGUUUACCGUAGAUAUGUAUCACCUGUUCUGAGACGGAGCCGGGGAGGCUGUUUUUAAUCAUCCAGGAGGUUGUAAAAUGUUUCCCGACGUUACGAGGACAGCUGCUGGAAUAAUGAUGCAGGUAGCUGGCACGCACGCAGUGCAAAGGUUUCACCAGGCGCGGUCUUCUAUGCCUAUCACCUGAUCAAUACCAGCAGCAGCCACGGUAAGGUGUAAUACACACUGGCGUCAUCUAACUUGCCAUGUGAGGAAACUGAGGCACACAAAGGGCAACUGGCUUGCUCAAGGUCGCGUGAAUGGCAAAGCGUGGAUCUGGGAUUCAAGCCCAGACAAUUGGGCUCCAGAAUUGACUUUAUUAGUCAUGAUCACUCCAGAGAAAACAUCAAGCACUUUUCAUUACAUGUUUAAUGAAAAUGAUGUUAAAGUGGUUUUGUAGGAGAAAACAUUUCAUUCAUGUAAAUACAUUUUACUGCAUUCUAAAAUCUAGCAGGAAAAGAUGUGGCCUAACUACCGUCAAGAUUCAGGUACAUUUCAUUGGAAAUACAAGCACAUUGGACAUGGGAAAAUACUGGGGAACUUUACACGGAAGAGAAUGCAUCUGAUAGUCUGGCGAACUAGCAUUUGCUGGAUUUUUAGGACAUAUGGGAGGCCGGGUGCGGUGACCUCCCCCAGCAAUCCCAGCAAUUGGGGAGGCUGAGGCCAGUGGAUUGCUCAAGCCCAGGAGUCCAAGACUAGCCCGGGCAACAUGGUACAACCUCAUCUCUAUGAAAAAAAUACAAAAAAUUAGCCGGGCGUGGUGGUGCACAGCUGUAGUCUCAGCUACGUGGGAGGUUGAGGUGGGAGAAUCACCUGAGCCUGGGGAAGUCAAGGCUGCAGUGAGCCGAGAUUGCACCACUGCACUCCAGCCUGGGUAACAGAGUGAGACCCUGUCUCAACAAACAAAACACAAAAAUAUAUAUAUGCUGAAUGCUCAGUGAGCUGUAACAUGUGAGGCAGCCCCCAGGGGUGCAGGGAUGAACCGCUAAGAAGGCGUAUGUUCCCACGGGGUGCAGAGAUGAACCCCUGUCUGAGAAGGUGCAUGUACCCACGGGGUGCAGAGAUGAACCCCUGUCUGAGAAGGUGCAUGUACCCAUGGGGUGCAGAGAUGAACCUCUGAGAAGGUGCAUAUACCCACGGGGUGCAGAGAUGAACCCCUGUCUGAGAAGGCACAUGUACCCACGGGGGUGCAGAGAUGAACCUCUGAGAAGGCGCAUGUACCCACGGGGCGCAGAGAUGAACCCCUGUCUGAGAAGAUGCAUGUACCCACGGGGGUGCAGAGAUGAACCUCUGGGAAGGCGCAUGUACCCACGGGGCACAGAGAUGAACCCCUGUCUGAGAAGAUGCAUGUACCCACGGGGGUGCAGAGAUGAACCUCUGGGAAGGCGCAUGUACCCACGGGGCACAGAGAUGAACCCCUGUCUGAGAAGAUGCAUGUACCCACGGGGGUGCAGAGAUGAACCUCUGGGAAGGCGCAUGUACCCACGGGGUACAGAGAUGAACCCCUGUCUGAGAAGAUGCAUGUACCCACGGGGUGCAGAGAUGAACCCCUGUCUGAGAAGGUGCAUGUACCCACGGGGUGCAGAGAUGAACCCCUCUCUGAGAAGACGCAUGUACCCACGGGGGUGCAGAGAUGAACCUCUGGGAAGGUGCAUGUACCCACGGGGUGCAGAGAUGAACCCCUGUCUGAGAAGGCACAUGUACCCAUGGGGGUGCAGAGAUGAACCCCUGUCUGAGAAGGCACAUGUACCCACGGGGUGCAGAGAUGAACCUCUGAGAAGGCGCAUGCACGGGGUGCAGAGAUGAACCCCUGUCUGAGAAGGUGCAUGUACCCACGGGGUGCAGAGAUGAACCCCUGUCUGAGAAGGUGCAUGUACCCAUGGGGUGCAGAGAUGAACCUCUGAGAAGGUGCAUAUACCCACGGGGUGCAGAGAUGAACCCCUGUCUGAGAAGGCACAUGUACCCACGGGGGUGCAGAGAUGAACCUCUGAGAAGGCGCAUGUACCCACGGGGCGCAGAGAUGAACCCCUGUCUGAGAAGAUGCAUGUACCCACGGGGGUGCAGAGAUGAACCUCUGGGAAGGCGCAUGUACCCACGGGGCACAGAGAUGAACCCCUGUCUGAGAAGAUGCAUGUACCCACGGGGGUGCAGAGAUGAACCUCUGGGAAGGCGCAUGUACCCACGGGGCACAGAGAUGAACCCCUGUCUGAGAAGAUGCAUGUACCCACGGGGGUGCAGAGAUGAACCUCUGGGAAGGCGCAUGUACCCACGGGGUACAGAGAUGAACCCCUGUCUGAGAAGAUGCAUGUACCCACGGGGUGCAGAGAUGAACCCCUGUCUGAGAAGGUGCAUGUACCCACGGGGUGCAGAGAUGAACCCCUCUCUGAGAAGACGCAUGUACCCACGGGGGUGCAGAGAUGAACCUCUGGGAAGGUGCAUGUACCCACGGGGUGCAGAGAUGAACCCCUGUCUGAGAAGGCACAUGUACCCAUGGGGGUGCAGAGAUGAACCCCUGUCUGAGAAGGCACAUGUACCCACGGGGUGCAGAGAUGAACCUCUGAGAAGGCGCAUGCACGGGGUGCAGAGAUGAACCCCUGUCUGAGAAGGUGCAUGUACCCACGGGGUGCAGAGAUGAACCCCUGUCUGAGAAGGUGCAUGUACCCAUGGGGUGCAGAGAUGAACCUCUGAGAAGGUGCAUAUACCCACGGGGUGCAGAGAUGAACCCCUGUCUGAGAAGGCACAUGUACCCACGGGGGUGCAGAGAUGAACCUCUGAGAAGGCGCAUGUACCCACGGGGCGCAGAGAUGAACCCCUGUCUGAGAAGAUGCAUGUACCCACGGGGGUGCAGAGAUGAACCUCUGGGAAGGCGCAUGUACCCACGGGGCACAGAGAUGAACCCCUGUCUGAGAAGAUGCAUGUACCCACGGGGGUGCAGAGAUGAACCUCUGGGAAGGCGCAUGUACCCACGGGGUACAGAGAUGAACCCCUGUCUGAGAAGAUGCAUGUACCCACGGGGUGCAGAGAUGAACCCCUGUCUGAGAAGGUGCAUGUACCCACGGGGUGCAGAGAUGAACCCAUCUGAGAAGGCACAUGUACCCACGGGGUGCAGAGAUGAACCCCUCUCUGAGAAGACGCAUGUACCGACGGGGGUGCAGAGAUGAACCUCUGGGAAGGUGCAUGUACCCACAGGGUGCAGAGAUGAACCCCUGUCUGAGAAGAUGCAUGUACCCACGGGGUGCAGAGAUGAACCCUGGUCUGAGAAGGUGCAUGUACCCACGGGGUGCAGAGAUGAACCCAUCUGAGAAGGCACAUGUACCCACGGGGUGCAGAGAUGAACCCCUGAGAAGGCGCAUGUACCCACGGGGUGCAGAGAUGAACCCGUCUGAGAAGGUACAUGUACCCAUGGGGUGCAGAGAUGAACCCAACUGAGAAGGAGCAUGUACCCACAGGGUGCAGAGAUGAACCUGUCUGAGAAGGCGCACACACCCACAGCUGCUCCUCAUCUUAGCACCACAGUGCCAGCCCCACCCCGUCUUUGAUAAGCCCUGGCCUUCCAGGGCCUCCCUCAGAGAACCAGCUCCUGCCGAGUCCCUGAACGUAGCUGCGGUCUGGGGUGCUGACACUUGGCACUGGGAGAAACCCUCACCAGUAGCAUCACCCCCCAGUGAGCCAAGAUCGCACCACAGCAGCAUCACCGGGGAGGGAGUCACGUGCUUGUCACUGCAGAACUCUGGAGGGGCAGGCUCUCACGUGGGUGGGGGCCAUGGAGGACGCAGCGUGGGAUUUAAAAUGAGCCCAAUGAAGGGAAAUGCUGGUUCUUCAAUGUCCAUGAGCUCAAGCCCUGUGGGAGGUGUAGCCUCGAUUAUUUUGCACAUAUCUGAACAGCAUUCACCCCCAGUUGGAUACACCCCUUUCCUCGAAGCACAGAUUGGAACUCAAGGUCACUGAAGUGCUUUCUGGCCGCAUCAUGGAGAGAAAGGCAUUUUCUCACUCAGGCAUCACCCCGCGAACGUGGCGUGCCAUGUUUUAGCAUCUAAGUGUGUCCCCCGAGGAGGCAGGGUUAUGCUGUAAUCACAAGCAACCCCCAAAUCUCAACGGCAUUAACGACACAGGGUAAUUUAUCAUGGGAUUGCGUGUCCACCUGGGUCCCCGCGGAGCUCUGUUGACUGGAGUCGCUCGGAGCCCCCGGCGCGAAUGCUGGAUGGCCGGGCGGGGAGGAGCGCUCAGGGGCUUCACGCGGUCAACACCCUACUCCGAAGUGACUCCCGCUGCUUCCAGCCGUCACCUGCUGGACAGAGACCGUCACACGGGCCCCUGCACGCAGUGGGGUGGGAAGGGAGAUCCUACCGCGUACCUGGAAGACGGGAGAACAGGGGUGUGUCCGUGAGUAGUGCUCUCUCUCAGUCCGCACAGCAGCCUUCCAGCAAAUCGGGAUUUUAUGCCAAACUCGCCCCACGCCCCCAAAUGCCAGGCUCCCCAGGGUAGCAACGAAUGACACGUUGUCCAAUCAGACUUCAGUGCAACCAUGUCACAGAAGACAUGACUAAAGCAAAACAGGACUGGGUGGUGCGCAUUUUGGUUUUGACGAGGUUGGGUCUGGGUCUCUGCUUCCCUCUCCUGGGCCAAGAUCCUCUGGGCGUGGAGUUCAGGAAUGAGGGUGGGACCUUCCCCAGGAGACCCAAGUAUGGGCAGCAGUUGCUGGGACCAAGUCCUCACUGAGAGUGACUUCGACAAACAUCCAUUGGCAGCUCCAGCUCAGGCCCAGGAGACAAAGUGGGGGUCACUGACACCCCGGAUUUUUUUUUAAUGACUGAAUCAUGAUUUGAACGCUGGUCUGUUGGAUUUCAAGAUCUGUGAUUUUCUCACUGAACACGCUAACUCCUGGGACAGCAGAGUUCCUUAGAUUGGACCUAAUAACACACUGAUCCCCUCCCCUCCUGCUUUUCUGUAUUUUUAAAAAAUUAUUUUGUUUUUAAUUCACAAAUAUUGUAUAUGUUAUAUGGGGUAGAAUGUGAUGCUGAUAUAUGUUUAAAAUGUGGAAUGAUUAAAUCAGGCUAAUUUACUUUUUUUUCCUAAAAGGACCUUGGCUUCAGAAUUAACUUUAAUUUUCAUUCCACUUUGCUUAUAUGGCCUUGGCAAGAUCAGUCCUUGUAGCACGGCCGGGACUUAAGCUCUGAACCACCAGUGAGGAGGGCGUUGGUCUGAGCCUGCUUUUCCAAGUCCUAUCUUCUCUUCUUGGGUUCAGGCAGCAGAUCCGACUGUAAGUGGCUUUAAAGAGACAGCAGACACGUUUGUGGCAGUUUAUUCAUUGCCCCUGGAUGCCACCCUUGCAUGCCCCCUAUGUGACAGCUGGCGGCCCACAGCCCAUUAACCGUGCAGAUGGGCACAGCAGGCCUCAGGGAGGUGAUGUGGGUUCAGUGUGCCGAACAUGAAGAGAUGCAGGGGACUCAAACCCACUGGCCGACACACCACCCGCUUCUCCAGGCAAAGAGGUGAGUCCCAACCAGUGAAGAGAAGGGAGAAGUGGUGCCAGGGCAAGAACGUGUGUGUGCCUCUGUGUGUGCCUGUGUGUGCUUGUGUGUGUGUGCAUGUGUGUGCAUGUGUCUGUGUGUGUGCACAUGAGCUUCUGUAUGUCUGCAGCUGCACAUGUGCAUAUAUGUGCAUGUGUGUGCAUGUGUGCCUGAGUAUGUGUGCAUGUGCACCUUUGUGUGCCUCAGUAUGUACACGUGUGUGCAUGCAUGUGCAUGUGUGCUUGUGUGUGUGCAUGAGCCUUCUGUGCAUGCACAUGUGCGCCUAAGCAUGUACCUGUGUGUGCAUGCAUGUGUGCAUGUCUGUGCCUAAGUAUGUACACAUGUGUGCAUGCAUGUGUGUGCCUAAGUGUGCGCACAUGUGUGCAUGUGUGUGUGCAUGUGUGCCUGUGUGCCUAUGUACAUGUGUACCUCUGUGUGUGUGCCUGCACAUGGACACGCAUGUGUGUGCAUGUGUUUGCCUGAGUAUGUACAUGUGUGUGCAUGCAUGCCUCUGUGUAUGACUGAGUAUGUACGUGUGUGCAUGCCUGUGUGUGUGUGAGAGAGGGAAAGAGGGAGUGAAGGAGGGAGAAAGAGAAAAAGAGAAAAAGGGAGAGAGAGGAAGAUGGAAUGGGGAUAGAAAGGAGUUAUAAUAAAAAUGGAGGACUUUG